AGCCCGCUCAGAAACUCAAAUGAAUUGACGGGGCCCGCACAAGCGGUGGAGUAUGUGGUUUAAUUCGAUGCAACGCGAAGAACCUUACCUGGUCUUGACAUCCCAGAGACCCUUAGGAAACUAGGGGGUGCUUCCAUCUGGAAGAAUCUGGAGACAGGUGCUGCAUGGCUGUCGUCAGCUCGUGUCGUGAGAUGUUGGGUUAAGUCCCGCAACGAGCGCAACCCUUGCCUUUAGUUGCCAGCAGUUCGGCUGGGCACUCUAAAGGGACUGCCGGUGUUAAACCGGAGGAAGGUGGGGAUGACGUCAAGUCCUCAUGGCCUUUAUGACCAGGGCUACACACGUACUACAAUGGCCGAUACAAAGGGCAGCGACACUGCGAGGUGAAGCCAAUCCCGUAAAAUCGGUCUCAGUCCGGAUUGGAGUCUGCAACUCGACUCCAUGAAGUUGGAAUCGCUAGUAAUCGUGGAUCAGCAUGCCACGGUGAAUACGUUCCCGGGCCUU
rnacentral:rRNA from 1 species